rnacentral:misc_RNA from 1 species
AAAAGUCACACCCUCAAAUUCGUGGCUGUCACAAGAUGGAGAGUUAAGGAUGUGCCUUUGACACUUCAUUACAGGAAGAAAACAAUUGAUUUGUGAUGCCUCUAUUCAUAUAUGGACUUCAUAAUUUAUGUUGAGUGAUUUAUGACAUUUCCAAGUGAAUGCCAUUGUCAGUGACAGAGUAUGUAGACAAAACAGUAACUGUCAAUGACAGUUAAUUAUUGACAGUGACACUUCUGACCAAAUGUUGAGUGACUGUCAGUGACAGCAAUUUUUUUCUGAAUGUUGUAUAGAGUAGUGAUCUGAAAAUGGAGAAAAUACUUGCUAUGACCUGUUAUUUAUAACAUAUACAUAAUGUUUAUUUAUAGGUGUAUAUCAGAUCUACUGCCAUUUUCUCUUCAGCUUAUAUUGAUUUUGCGACUUUAUAAUUUAUGAAGUAUGACAGAUGAGUAAAUGGGAAAAACUGUGAGUUAAAAAAUUUCACUCCAUAUGUUUUGCAAUUCAACCAUCAGAAUAUGUACAAGUAUUAGAGUUUUGAUAGAAAUGAAUACAAUGUUAUGUCUGUCACUGAAUUCACUUGUUUUUUGUUAUUAUCUAUAGAUAAAUUGUUGAUUUUUUUGUAUUUCAUACCUGUGUAUUCUUACUGCACAGAACAAGUAGAUUUCACACACCAUACAUGGAAUAGCAUGGAUGAAUUGAGCAAGAGUACAUGUACAUACUGCUAUUAGGUGUAUGAUUGUUAUUCUAAAAAAUUACAUGCGAACAUUUUUUUCUCAUAUUUUUUCCUAUUGUUUAUAGCACAAAAUUAAAUAUUUAUAUCUCUG